UACAGGGGGUGCAAACGUUGCUCGGAAUUAUUGGGCGUAAAGCGCGCGUAGGCGGCCCGGUAAGUCCGUUGUGAAAGUCAAAGGCUCAACCUUUGAACGCCGAUGGAUACUGCCGGGCUAGAGUCCGGAAGAGGCGAGUGGAAUUCCUGGUGUAGCGGUGGAAUGCGCAGAUAUCAGGAGGAACACCAAUAGCGAAGGCAGCUCGCUGGGACGGUACUGACGCUGAGGCGCGAAAGCGUGGGGAGCGAACAGG
rnacentral:rRNA from 1 species